rnacentral:rRNA from 1 species
CAGCAGCCGCGGUAAUACGUAGGUGGCAAGCGUUGUCCAGAAUUAUUGGGCGUAAAGGGCUCGCAGGCGGUUUCUUAAGUCUGAUGUGAAAGCCCCCGGCUCAACCGGGGAGGGUCAUUGGAAACUGGGAAACUUGAGUGCAGAAGAGGAGAGUGGAAUUCCACGUGUAGCGGUGAAAUACGUAGAGAUGUGGAGGAACACCAGUGGCGAAGGCGACUCUCUGGUCUGUAACUGACGCUGAGGAGCGAAAGCGUGGGGAGCGAACAGGAUUAGAUACCCCCGUAGUCCCUGUCUCUUAUAA